GGGGGUGUAUCGGUUUCGACUGUUUGCGAGUUGGAAAGCAUAAGCAUAUCGCAGACCGUGUCUGCGUUAUAAAAACGGAAAAUUAAAAUUAAAUGCUGAUAAUAACAAUUACGCAUUUGCUGCUUAAUUAAAGCAGCUGUUCCGCCUUUUUUUACCGCAGGAAAGGGACGGGGCAUGAUUUAUGCGGUGAACGCUCGUUCUGUUUUAGCGGCGGCAGAGCGAAUGUAUUAAGUCGCCUGCGCGCAAAGUUGCCCGUCGACGGACUGCUUUGCGAAGAGGAUAAUCGUCGACUAAAUAUGUAGAAGGCUUUUGGGCUUGCAGGCAACACGGCGGUUCAACUCCGCCCAUCUCCACCA
rnacentral:tmRNA from 1 species